AGUAUGAUCAGCUUGUCGAAAGAAUGAAUCAAUGACACUCUGUCUUCGUGGAGAGCAGCCUGGGUGUGGAAUCAGGCACCCCCGGGUUCAAAGCCAUCACUGGCGAACUCACAAAGAGUGGGACUCACCGACCUGAGGGUUUGCCAGCACACUCGUAGCCCGCGGGACUAGAGUAUUUGUGAGAGAGGAGUGUGGUCUUUUGAUUGAAGAACAGAAGUCAUUCGUGAAGGACACAGCACACACAGCCCAGAGAGCUCGCAGGUUAAAACUGCACAUGGAGCAAUGUCUGCCAGCCAUUCAGGGUACUUCAAAAUAGCAAACACAGUAUUCACAAUCAAGUUAUUUAGACCUUUUAGAUUGUAUACAAAUGACAUAGAAAAAUGUACAGCCAGUCCACUGGGUUGUAAUUUUAGAAACAAACAUCUCAAGUCAUAAUAAUAAAGUAGAGUUUUAAAAA
rnacentral:lncRNA from 10 species